AGAGUUUGAUCAUGGCUCAGAGUGAACGCUGGCGGCGUGCCUAACACAUGCAAGUCGAACGCGAAAGUUCUCUUCGGAGAACGAGUAGAGUGGCAGACGGGUGAGUAAUGCAUAGGUAAUCUACCUUCGAGUGGGGGAUAACUUAUCGAAAGGUGAGCUAAUCCCGCAUGAUGUGGUGACACAUAAGUGUUGCUAAUAAAGGGGGGGAUCCUUCGGGACCUCUCGCUUGAAGAUGAGCCUAUGUCCUAUUAGCUUGUUGGUGGGGUAAUGGCCUACCAAGGUUAUGAUGGGUAGCCGAGCUGAGAGGCUGACCGGCCACACUGGAACUGAAACACGGUCCAGACUCCUAUGGGAGGCAGCAGUGGGGAAUUUUGCGCAAUGGGCGAAAGCCUGACGCAGCGACGCCGCGUGAGGGAUGAAGGUCCUCGUGAUCGUAAACCUCUGUCAGGAAGGAUUAAAUGUGCAGGUGUUAAUACCAUUUGUACUUGACUUAACUUCCAAAGGAAGCUCCGGCUAACUACGUGCCAGCAGCCGCGGUAAUACGUAGGGGGCUAGCGUUACUCGGAUUUAUUGGGCGUAAAGCGAAUGUAGGCGGUUGAAUAAGUCAGUGGUGAAAUCCCUCAGCUUAACUGAGGAAAUUGCAUUGAUACUGUUCGACUUGAGGACAGGAGAGGAAAGUGGAAUUCCCGGUGUAGCGGUGGAAUGCGUAGAUAUCGGGAAGAACACCAGGGGCGAAGGCGGCUUUCUGGACUGUUCCUGACACUGAGACUC
rnacentral:rRNA from 1 species